GCCCUUAGUUUGAUCCUGGCUCAGAACGAACGCUGGCGGCGCGUUUUAAGCAUGCAAGUCAAAGGGGCUAUUUAUAGCGAUAUAGAUAGCAACUGGCGCACGGGUGAGUAAUAUGUGAGAAUCUACCCUAAGGACUGGGAUAGUAUGCAGAAAUGCAUAGUAAUACCGGAUAUGCCGAGAGGUGAAAAGGUCAACUGAUCUGCCUUAGGAUGAGCUUGCAUCCCAUUAGCUAGUUGGUAGGGUAAGAGCCUACCAAGGCGACGAUGGGUAGCCGGCCUGAGAGGGUGAACGGCCACAUUGGAACUGAGACACGGUCCAGACUCCUACGGGAGGCAGCAGCUAAGAAUCUUCCGCAAUGGGAGGAAUCCUGACGGAGCGACGCCGCGUGAACGAUGAAGGCAGAAAUGUUGUAAAGUUCUUUUGUAUGGGAAGAAUAAGGGGAGGAGUGGAAAGCCUCUCUGAUGACGGUACCAUACGAAUAAGCCACGGCUAACUACGUGCCAGCAGCCGCGGUAAUACGUAGGUGGCAAGCGUUGUUCGGAAUCAUUGGGCGUAAAGGGCAUGUAGGUGGUUUUACAAGUGUGAGUUUGGAUACCGAGCUUAACUUCGAGUAUGGCUUGCAAACUGUAAGACUGGAGUGUAGAAGGGGAGACUGGAAUUCGCUGUGUAGGGGGUGAAACAUGUAGAUAUGCGGGAGGAGACCCU
rnacentral:rRNA from 1 species